AGAGUUUGAUCCUGGCUCAGAGCGAACGCUGGCGGCAGGCCUAACACAUGCAAGUCGAACGAACUCUUCGGAGUUAGUGGCGGACGGGUGAGUAACACGUGGGAACGUGCCUUUUGGUUCGGAAUAACUCAGGGAAACUUGUGCUAAUACCGAAUGUGCCCUUCGGGGGAAAGAUUUAUCGCCAUUAGAGCGGCCCGCGUCUGAUUAGCUAGUUGGUGGGGUAAUGGCCCACCAAGGCUACGAUCAGUAGCUGGUCUGAGAGGAUAACCAGCCACAUUGGGACUGAGACACGGCCCAAACUCCUACGGGAGGCAGCUGGGGGUUUCGUGCGCAAUGGGCGAAAGCCUGACGCAGCCUUCCACGUGUAUGAUGAAGGUCUUAGGAUUGUAAAAUACUUUCACCGGUGAAGAUAAUGACUGUAGCCGAGAAG
rnacentral:rRNA from 1 species